rnacentral:rRNA from 1 species
GAUGAACGCUGGCGGCGUGCCUAAUACAUGCAAGUCGAGCGAACGGACGAGAAGCUUGCUUCUCUGAUGUUAGCGGCGGACGGGUGAGUAACACGUGGAUAACCUACCUAUAAGACUGGGAUAACUUCGGGAAACCGGAGCUAAUACCGGAUAAUAUUUUGAACCGCAUGGUUCAAAAGUGAAAGACGGUCUUGCUGUCACUUAUAGAUGGAUCCGCGCUGCAUUAGCUAGUUGGUAAGGUAACGGCUUACCAAGGCAACGAUGCAUAGCCGACCUGAGAGGGCGAUCGGCCACACGGGAACUGAGACACGGUCCAGACUCCUACGGGAGGCAGCAGUAGGGAAUCUUCCGCAAUGGGCGAAAGCCUGACGGAGCAACGCCGCGUGAGUGAUGAAGGUCUUCGGAUCGUAAAACUCUGUUAUGAGGGAAGAACAUAUGUGUAAGUAACUGUGCACAUCUUGACGGUACCUAAUCAGAAAGCCACGGCUAACUACGUG